rnacentral:rRNA from 1 species
GACGAACGCUGGCGGCGUGCUUAACACAUGCAAGUCGAACGGUAAAGCCCUUCUUUUGUUGGGUGCUCGAGUUGCGAGGGGAUGAGUAACAUGUCAGUAACCUACCCUUCACUCUUCUUUAACUUCACGAAACUGAGGCUUAUCCCGUAUAGGAGCUUCUGCUGCUUGGUGGUGGUGGGAAUGUUGCGGGGGUUGGUUCGGGACUCGCGGCUUUUCAGCGUGUUGGUGGGGUAGUGGCGUACCAGGGCUAUGAAGGGUAGACGGCCUGAGAGGGUGACCGGCCACAUUGGGACUGAGAUACGGCGCAGACGCCUAGGGGAGGCAGCAGUGGGGAAUAUUGCACAACGGGCGGAAGGCGGGAGCAGUGACGCCGUGUGCGGGAUGAAGGCCUUCGGGUUGUGAAGCGCGUUCGCCUGUGACGAAGCGUGAGUGACGGUAAUGGGUAAAGAAGCACCGGCUAACUACGUG